UAAUACGGAGGGUGCAAGCGUUAAUCGGAAUUACUGGGCGUAAAGCGCGCGUAGGCGGUUUGAUAAGUCGGGUGUGAAAGCCCCGGGCUUAACUUGGGAAUGGCAUUCGAUACUGUCAAGCUAGAGUAUGGUAGAGGGAAGCGGAAUUCCGCAUGUAGCGGUGAAAUGCGUAGAUAUGCGGAGGAACACCAGUGGCGAAGGCGGCUUCCUGGACCAAUACUGACGCUGAGGCGCGAAAGCGUGGGGAGCAAACAGGAUUAGAUACCCUGGUAGUCCACGCCGUAAACGAUGAGAACUAGAUGUUGGGGGGAUUAAACCCCUUAGUGUCACAGCUAACGCGUUAAGUUCUCCGCCUGGGGAGUACGGCCGCAAGGUUA
rnacentral:rRNA from 1 species